rnacentral:rRNA from 1 species
UACGUAGGGUCCGAGCGUUGUCCGGAAUUACUGGGCGUAAAGGGCUCGUAGGCUGCCAACUAAGUCAGACGUGAAAUCCCUCGGCUUAACCGGGGAACUGCGUCUGAUACUGGAUGGCUUGAGAUUGGGAGAGGGAUGCGGAAUUCCAGGUGUAGCGGUGAAAUGCGUAGAUAUCUGGAGGAACACCGGUGGCGAAGGCGGCAUCCUGGACCAACACUGACGCUGAUGAGCGAAAGCCAGGGGAGCAAACGGG